GUGUACUUUCCUUUGAGUGAACAGCUCAAGGUACAACAGAGUAGGGCUUCAAAAACUCUUAAUUCCAUCCUCCUGAGCUUGAUAAAUAUUGAUCUUCAUUCAAAGUGGACAGGCAAGCAAGUGUCGCCCGUCCACCUGGACACUAUAUUAAGAGCUCACUGUAAGCAUCUUUUCCAACUGGUGUCAUGACUCCAAUGACUGACUGGACCACAGCCAGUGAACCAACCAUCUAACCAACCACUCAUCAGCCGGGCAAGAAAUAAGUAUUUCUGCAGAGAUGAACAAAAACCCUUCUGAAUUUGCUGAGCUUUGGAAAUGGCACCAGGAGAG